rnacentral:RNase_P_RNA from 1 species
GGAGUCGGCCAGACAGUCGCGUCAUCAAUCAACUUGUUGGUGGAUGCCGAGGAAAGUCCGGGCUCCACAGGGCACGGUGCCAGGUAACGCCUGGGCGGCGCGAGCCGACGGAAAGUGCAACAGAAAGAUACCGCCCAAGAC